rnacentral:lncRNA from 1 species
ACCGGAGGGAGAGCCCGACCUCCCAGACCCCAAGGUAGACGGGCGACGCCCCCCGCCCCCACCCAGGGGUCUUGAAACCUCCGCGCCAGGACGCGCUAGGUACCUGGAAAGGGGGAGGUGGGCGAGGCGGGGCGUGGUGCCCCACGGGCCCGCGGCCCAGACCCUGACCACCGCCUCCGCCCGCGGGCCUCGGGCGCUACCAGCCCGUGACGCGGGGCCUGCCCGGCCCUGGCCAACAGCCGCCUGGAGUCCCUACAGCCGCCGCCACCAGCCCCGACGACCCCCCCCCACCCCCAUUUCAACCCCGAAAAGGAGCAGAACCCCACCGCGCGCCCAGACGGCACCCUCCUCUUCCCCCACAGCCGUGGCCCGUCCCCGCACCCACGUCCCAGGCACCCUUUCCCCUGCCACCGAGGGCAGAGGGACGCUCCGACGGGAAGCGUGGCGCAGUCGGGCAGGAGCACGACAGAGGAAGGGCGCGAGAGAGCCGGCCGGCCGGUCGGAGGGCACUCCCCAGGCUCGGAGGGCGGGGAGAGGCGCCUGGCGACCUGGCGGAGAGCAGAGCAAAGGACAAGCGACGACCGGCCGGGAAGACUGGUCCAGGGCCGGCGGCGACCGGCAGGCGAGCGGCCCCGCCGCGCAGCCUGCGAGAUGCACCGGACGCUCCGGACUGUGCCGUCACGACCGGGGACAGUCCUGGCCACCGCCAGAGGCGAAGGUGUGUAGCCGGGGGAACCUCGGCCCCCCAGCCUCGAGGGACUUUCUGCUUUCAGGUGACUCAAGGCUACAGGCUGCUUCCAUCUUGUAGCACCACUAUUCCAACAUGCGGGUCUCCAUGUUUGCUGCUGAAUGGCAGAGGAAGCAUGGAAAGGGCAUACUGGCUCCUACCUAACUACCAGUGGAGCACCCAGAAGCAUACUGAGAAUUUUCUCCUUCCUUGUGAUACGUGGCCAGAAUCUUUUAUGAGCCUCUGCUACGUUCUACAUGACUGAACAUUCCUGUACAGGCUUGAUUUUGGGAGAACACAACAGGCCAAGUUUGAUUGUCAUCUUUGCAGCUACAAGUAAGGCAUGAAAUCUGUAAAUGAGAAUUGACAUCUUUACAAUGAUGUAUAUCCCAUCAGUAAGUAUGAUAUACUGCCCCAUUUAUCUGAGACUUACUUUACCUGAAUUUAUCAGUAAACUUUUAUAGUUGCCUCAAUAAAGAUCUAAAGUGUUUUUGUGAUGAUUCUUUU